rnacentral:rRNA from 1 species
CCUACGGGGGGCUGCAGUGGGGAAUUUUGGACAAUGGGGGCAACCCUGAUCCAGCCAUGCCGCGUGAGUGAAGAAGGCCUUCGGGUUGUAAAGCUCUUUCGGCCGGGAAGAAAUCGCGCCAGCUAAUACCUGGUGUGGAUGACGGUACCGGAAGAAGAAGCACCGGCUAACUACGUGCCAGCAGCCGCGGUAAUACGUAGGGUGCGAGCGGUGCGCGGAGUUACCGGGCGUAAAGCUUGAAGACACGGGUGAAAUCCCCGGGCUUAACCUGGGAACUGCGCUUGUGACUGCAAGACUUGAGUGCGGCAGAGGGGGGUGGAAUUCCACGUGUAGCAGUGAAAUGCGUAGAGAUGUGGAGGAACACCGAUGGCGAAGGCAGCCCCCUGGGUCGACACUGACGCUCAUGCACGAAAGCGUGGGGAGCAAACAGGAUUAGAUACCCCAGUAGUC